rnacentral:rRNA from 1 species
UACAGAGGGUGCGAGCGUUAAUCGGAAUUGCUGGGCGUAAAGCGUGCGUAGACGGUUUCGUAAGUCGGGUGUGAAAGCCCCGGGCUCAACCUGGGAAUUGCAUUCGAGACUGCGUAGCUAGGGUGCGGAAGAGGGAAGCGGAAUUUCCGGUGUAGCGGUGAAAUGCGUAGAUAUCAGGAGGAAUACCGAUGGCGAAGGCAGGUCUCUGGGCUGACACUGACGCUCAUGCACGAAAGCGUGGGGAGCAAACAGG